GAUGAACGCUGGCGGCGUGCUUAACACAUGCAAGUCGAACGAAGCACCUCUCCCGAAGAUUGACACAGCUUGCUGUAGAUUGAUUCAUUUGAGGUGACUGAGUGGCGGACGGGUGAGUAACGCGUGGGUAACCUGCCUCAUAGAGGGGGACAACAGUUGGAAACGACUGCUAAUACCGCAUAGUAAGAAGAAUUCGCAUGUUUUCUUCUUGAAAGAUUUAUCGCUAUGAGAUGGACCCGCGUCUGAUUAGCUAGUUGGUAAGGUAACGGCUUACCAAGGCCACGAUCAGUAGCCGGCUUGAGAGAGUGAACGGCCACAUUGGGACUGAGACACGGCCCAAACUCCUACGGGAGGCAGCAGUGGGGAAUAUUGCACAAUGGGGGAAACCCUGAUGCAGCGACGCCGCGUGAGUGAAGAAGUAUUUCGGUAUGUAAAGCUCUAUCAGCAGGGAAGAUAAUGACGGUACCUGACUAAGAAGCCCCGGCUAACUACGUG
rnacentral:rRNA from 1 species